GCCUUCGUGGUGUAGUGGUCAACACGCUCAACAUGAAAUCGAGAGAUCCGUGGUUAGAGUCCCGGCGAAGGCA
rnacentral:tRNA from 1 species